GGGUAUGUAGCUCAGUUGGUAGAGUGACUGCUUUGCAUGCAGAGGGCCCUGGGUUGAAUCCCCAGCACCACCCA
rnacentral:tRNA from 1 species